GUGAAUCAUCGAAUCUUUGAACGCAUAUUGCACUCUCUGGUAUUCCGGAGCGUAUGCCUGUUUGAGGGUCAGUUAAUUAAAACUCGGGUUUUUUACCACCUUUUAUUUGUGGCGCUCCGGACUUGAGUCGUCUUACCUUCCGGUUGAGUGACUUAAAAUUUUUGUAUGAUAUCUAACGUAUUUACAUUUAUUUGGUACGCUUGUCAUAUCAAAUGUUUAUUAGGUGUGGUCAUUUUCCUGAUUCGCGUCCUCUAAUUUUUCAUCUAAUAACCUCCAAUCAGGUACUCAUACCCGCUGAC
rnacentral:misc_RNA from 1 species